rnacentral:rRNA from 1 species
AUUGAACGCUGGCGGCAUGCCUUACACAUGCAAGUCGAAUGGUAACAGGUCUUCGGAUGCUGACGAGUGGCGAACGGGUGAGUAAUACAUCGGAACGUGCCUAGUAGUGGGGGAUAACUACUCGAAAGAGUGGCUAAUACCGCACGAGAUCUACGGAUGAAAGCAGGGGAUCGCAAGACCUUGUGCUACUAGAGCGGCCGAUGGCAGAUUAGGUAGUUGGUGGGAUAAAAGCUUACCAAGCCGACGAUCUGUAGCUGGUCUGAGAGGACGAUCAGCCACACUGGGACUGGGAAACGGCCCAGACUCCUACGGGAGGCAGCAGUGGGGAAUUUUGGACAAUGGGCGCAAGCCUGAUCCAGCAAUGCCGCGUGCAGGAUGAAGGCCUUCGGGUUGUAAACUGCUUUUGUACGGAACGAAAAGCCCCGGGUUAAUACCCUGGGGUCAUGACGGUACCGUAAGAAUAAGCACCGGCUAACUACGUGCCAGCCGCCGCCGUAA